GAAAUGCGAUAAGUAAUGUGAAUUGCAGAAUUCAGUGAAUCAUCGAAUCUUUGAACGCACCUUGCGCUCCUUGGUAUUCCUUGGAGCAUGCCUGUUUGAGUAUCAUGAAAUCUUCAAAGUAAAUCUUUUGUUAACUCAAUUGGUUUCUACUUUGGUAUUGGAGGUCUUUGCAGCUUCACACCUGCUCCUCUUUGUUCAUUAGCUGGAUCUCAGUGUUAUGCUUGGUUCCACUCGGCGUGAUAAGUUAUCUAUCGCUGAGGACACUGUAAAAGGUGGCCAAGGUAAAUGCAGAUGAACCGCUUCUAAUAGUCCAUUGACUUGGACAAUACUUUUAUGAUCUGAUCUCAAAUCAGGUAGGACUACCCGCUGAGCUUAAGC
rnacentral:misc_RNA from 1 species